UACGUAGGGUGCGAGCGUUAAUCGGAAUUACUGGGCGUAAAGCGUGCGUAGGCGGUCCGCGAAGUCUGAUGUGAAAGCCCCGGGCUCAACCUGGGAACUGCAUUGGAAACUAACGGGCUCGAGUGUGGCAGAGGGGGGUGGGAAUUCCACGUGUAGCAGUGAAAUGCGUAGAGAUGUGGAGGAACACCGAUGGCCGGAAGGCAGCCCCCUGGGCUAACACUGACGCUCAGGCGACGAAAGCGUGGGGAGCAAACAGG
rnacentral:rRNA from 1 species